UACAGAGGGUGCGAGCGUUGUUCGGAAUUACUGGGCGUAAAGCGCGCGCAGGCGGCUAUCCAAGUCAGUGGUGAAAGCCCGGAGCUCAACUCCGGAACUGCCAUUGAAACUGUUGGACUUGAGUACGAGAGAGGUGAGUGGAAUUCCACGUGUAGCAGUGAAAGUGCGUAGAGAUGUGGAGGAACACCGAUGGCGAAGGCAGCCCCCUGGGCUAACACUGACGCUCAUGCACGAAAGGCGUGGGGAGCAAACG
rnacentral:rRNA from 1 species